GGCCCGUUCGUCUAGCGGUUUAGGACACCGCCCUCUCAAGGCGGAGAUCGUGGGUUCAAAUCCCAUACGGGCUACCA
rnacentral:tRNA from 1 species